rnacentral:rRNA from 1 species
UACGUAGGGUGCAAGCGUUGUCCGGAAUUAUUGGGCGUAAAGAGCUCGUAGGCGGUUUGUUGCGUCGGCUGUGAAAUCCCGUGGCUCAACCAUGUGGUCUGCAGUCGAUACGGGCAGGCUAGAAUUCGGUAGGGGAGACUGGAAUUCCUGGUGUAGCGGUGAAAUGCGCAGAUAUCAGGAGGAACACCUGCGGCGAAGGCGGGUUGCUGGGCUGAUACUGACGCUGAGGCGCGAAAGCCAGGGGAGCGAACGGG